UGUAUAUUGUUCCAAACACCUGACAGAGGAGUGCUGCCAAGCUGACCAAGGAGAAGAAAGCCUUCCAAGAGUCCCACAAGCAGACACUGGAUGACUGGCAAGGAGAGAAGGACAAAGUCAACAUUCUGACCAAGGCCACAGCAAGAUUGAGGAGUCUCUGAGAGCUCAGCUCCAGAAAGAGAUCUAGGAACUCCAGGCCCGUAUUGAGGAUCUGGAGGAGGAAAUUGAGGCUGAGCGUGAUGCCAGGGCUAAGGUUCAGAAGCAGAUGGUCAAUCUCUCCAGGGAACAUGAAGAGAUCAGUGAGAGGCUGGAGGGUUGAAAAUCAUAGGUGGCUACAGAGAUCAAACACAGGAGGAGUUUGGGAUCUUCAUCAAGCGGGU